GACGAACGCUGGCGGCGUGCUUAACACAUGCAAGUCGAACGAAGAGCGAUGGACGCUUGCUUCUAUCAAUCUUAGUGGCGAACGGGUGAGUAACGCGUAAUCAACCUGCCCUUCAGAGGGGGACAACAGUUGGAAACGACUGCUAAUACCGCAUACGAUCUAAUCUCGGCAUCGAGGAUAGAUGAACGGUGGCCUCUACAUGUAAGCUAUCACUGAAGGAGGGGAUUGCGUCUGAUUAGCUAGUUGGAGGGGUAACGGCCCACCAAGGCGAUGAUCGGUAGCCGGUCUGGGAGGAUGAACGGCCACAUUGGGAAUGAGACACGGCCCAGACUCCUACGGGAGGCAGCAGUGGGGAAUCUUCCGCAAGGGACGAAAGUCUGACGGAGCAACGCCGCGUGAGUGAUGACGGCCUUCGGGUUGUAAAGCUCUGUUAAUCGGGACGAAAGGCCUUCUUGCGAAUAGUGAGAAGGAUUGACGGUACCGGAAGAGAAAGCCACGGCUAACUACGUG
rnacentral:rRNA from 1 species